GGAUGAACGUUGGCGGCGUGCCUAAUACAUGCAAGUCGAACGAAGACUGUAGUAAUACUGUCUUAGUGGCGAACGGGUGAGUAACGCGUGGGUGACCUGCCCCGAAGUGUGGGAUAACAGUUCGAAAGGAUUGCUAAUACUGCAUAAUAUCCAAGAGAUUAGACGCUUUUGGAUUAAAGGAGUAAUUCGCUUCGGGAGGGGCCCGCGUCCCAUCAGCUAGUUGGUAAGGUAAUGGCUUACCAAGGCGAUGACGGGUAGGGGACCUGAGAGGGUGGCCCCCCACAAUGGAACUGAAACACGGUCCAUACACCUACGGGUGGCAGCAGUAGGGAAUAUUAGUAAUGGGCGAAAGCCUGAACUAGCAACGCCGCGUGUGCGAAGAAGGCCUUCGGGUUGUAAAGCACUUUUUGAGAGGAUGAGGAAGGACGGUACUCUCAGAAUAAGUCUCGGCUAACUACGUGCCAGCAGCCGCGGUAACACGUAGGAGGCAAACGUUAUCCGGAUUUACUGGGCGUAAAGCGCGUGUAGGUGGUUUGGUAAGUAGGGCGUGAAAGCUCCUGGCUCAACUGGGAGAGGACGUUCUAAACUGCCAAGCUUGAGGAUGGUAGAGGGAGGUGGAAUUCCGGGUGUAGCGGUGGAAUGCGCAGAUAUCCGGAGGAACACCAGUGGCGAAGGCGGCCUCCUGGACCACUCCUGACACUCAGACGCGAAAGCUAGGGUAGCAAACGGGAUUAGAGACCCCGGUAGUCCUAGCCCUAAACGAUGUAGACUUGGCGUCGGUGGUUUAAUCGCCAUCGGUGUCGUAGCUAACGCGUUAAGUCUACCGCCUGGGGACUACGGCCGCAAGGUUAAAACUCAAAGGAAUUGACGGGUCCCCGCACAAGCAGCGGAGCGUGUGGUUUAAUUCGAUGCUACACGAAGAACCUUACCUGGGUUUGACAUAGAGGUAGUAGGGAAGCGAAAGCGGACCGACCCUUCGGGGAGCCUCUACAGGUGUUGCAUGGCUGUCGUCAGCUCGUGUCGUGAGAUGUUCGGUUAAGUCCGCUAACGAGCGCAACCCUUGUUGUUAGUUACCAACAGGUAAAGCUGGGGACUCUAACGAGACUGCCACCGUAAGGUGUGAGGAAGGGGGGGAUGACGUCAAAUCAGCACGGCCCUUAUGUCCGGGGCGACACACGUGUUACAAUGGGGGGUACAGAGGGCAGCCAUCCGGUGACGGAGCGCCAAUCUCCAAAACCCUUCUCAGUUCGGAUUGGAGUCUGCAACCCGACUCCAUGAAGUUGGAAUCGCUAGUAAUCGCGGAUCAGCAUGCCGCGGUGAAUACGUUCCCGGGCCU
rnacentral:rRNA from 1 species